rnacentral:rRNA from 1 species
CGGCGCACGGGUGCGUAACGCGUAUGCAACCUACCCCGUACUGGGGGAUAGCCCGAAGAAAUUCGGAUUAAUACCCCAUAGUAUUUAGAUAUCGCAUGAUAUUUAAAUUAAAGGUUACGGUACGGGAUGGGCAUGCGUCCUAUUAGCUAGAUGGUAAGGUAACGGCUUACCAUGGCUACGAUAGGUAGGGGGCCUGAGAGGGUGGUCCCCCACACUGGUACUGAGACACGGACCAGACUCC